rnacentral:lncRNA from 1 species
CGGGAUCUUCAAUGUUCAAAAUUCAAAGUGAGCUUUAUAAUUUAAUAUUCAAAUAAUUUCUUUUGGCCGUCAUAUUGAAUCAACUAAAUUUAUUUUAUCACAUUUGAAAAUCUACUCUAUACAUUAAAAAUAUCCUCAAGCGAUUCUCUAUGUGACAUAUGCCCAGCUGUUUGCUAAAUAUGUAUUUUUAAUUUUUAUUAAUUUUCA